GGCAAGAGCUCAAAUUUGAAAGCUGGCCCCUUCGGGGUCCGCGUUGUAAUUUGCAGAGGAUGCUUCGGGUGCAGCCCCCGUCUAAGUGCCCUGGAACGGGCCGUCAUAGAGGGUGAGAAUCCCGUCUGGGACGGGGUGUCUGCGUCCGUGUGAAGCUCCUUCGACGAGUCGAGUUGUUUGGGAAUGCAGCUCUAAAUGGGUGGUAAAUUUCAUCUAAAGCUAAAUACUGGCCGGAGACCGAUAGCGCACAAGUAGAGUGAUCGAAAGAUGAAAAGCACUUUGAAAAGAGAGUUAAACAGCACGUGAAAUUGUUGAAAGGGAAGCGUUUGCGACCAGACUCGCCCGCGGGGUUCAGCCGGCAUUCGUGCCGGUGUACUUCCCCGUGGGCGGGCCAGCGUCGGUUUGGGCGGCCGGUCAAAGGCCCUCGGAAUGUAUCACCUCUCGGGGUGUCUUAUAGCCGAGGGUGCAAUGCGGCCUGCCUGGACCGAGGAACGCGCUUCGGCUCGGACGCUGGCGUAAUGGUCGUAAAUGACCCGUCUUGAA
rnacentral:rRNA from 1 species